UACGUAGGGUGCGAGCGUUGUCCGGAUUUAUUGGGCGUAAAGCGCGUGUAGGUGGCCAGGUAGGUCAGCUGUGAAAACUCGAGGCUCAACCUCGAGACGUCGGUUGAAACCGUAUGGCUAGAGUCCGGAAGAGGAGAGUGGAAUUCCCGGUGUAGCGGUGAAAUGCGCAGAUAUCGGGAAGAACACCUAUGGCGAAGGCAGCUCUCUGGGACGGUACUGACGCUGAGACGCGAAAGCGUGGGGAGCAAACAGG
rnacentral:rRNA from 1 species